AUUGAACGCUGGCGGCAGGCUUAACACAUGCAAGUCGAGCGGGGUGAUGGUGCUUGCACUAUCACUUAGCGGCGGACGGGUGAGUAAUGCUUAGGAAUCUGCCUAUUAGUGGGGGACAACAUCUCGAAAGGGAUGCUAAUACCGCAUACGUCCUACGGGAGGAAGCAGGGGAUCACUUGUGACCUUGCGCUAAUAGAUGAGCCUAAGUCGGAUUAGAUAGUUGGUGGGGUAAAGGCCUACCAAGGCGAUGAUCUGUCGCGGGUCUGAGAGGAUGUUCAGCCACACUGGGACGGAGACACGGCCCAGACUCCUACGGUAGGCAGCAGUAGGGAAUAUUGGACAAUGGGGGGAACCCUGAUCCAGCCAUGCCGCGUGUGUAAAGAAGGCCUUAUGGUUGUAAAGCACUUUAAGCGAGGAGGAGGCUCUUUUGGUUAAUACCCAAGAUGAGUGGACGUUACUCGCAGAAUAAGCACCGGCUAACUCUGUGCCAGCCGCCGCAGUAA
rnacentral:rRNA from 1 species